AUGGUCAUGAUCGAGCCUUGUCACUGGGGCAUUGAAGCAACCUCUGCUUGCAAACUCCCAGUUCUGAAGGAUUGGCUCGAAGAACGCAAACUCAUGCAGCAACUCCUAAAACAACAUCUCAACCGUGCUCGCAACACGAUAAAAGUUCAAGAUGACAAGAAACGCACCGACGGGACCUUCCAACCUGGAGAUUCGAUGUUUGUCAAGCUACAGUCGUACAUUGAAACAUCAAUCGAGAGAAGGGUCACAAACUUGCCUUUGAAUACUUCGGGCCCGUCAAAAUUCCACAAGUUAUCAAUCCGGUGGCAUACAAACUCGAACUACCUGAUCUAA
rnacentral:rRNA from 1 species